AAGAGGGAACCCGGUGGGAAUCCGGGACUGCCCCGCAGCGGUGAGCGGGAACGACCGCCGUCAUACGCACUGGGCCCGCGAGGGCCCGGGAAGCGACGGCCACUAGGUGUCCGCCGGGAAACCGGCAGGCGUGCCCGCGAGUCCGAAGACCU
rnacentral:ncRNA from 2 species